AUCGCUUCUCGGCCUUUUGGCUAAGAUCAAGUGUAGUAUGUGGCCUGCCAAGCAAAGAAAUAAACACAUUUGAACAGCAGCUCAUUCACUGACUAAGGUUUUAAUAAAUUUCUUCAUUCUGGGCUUUAUUUUCUCAGAGAACUAGAGUAGUAAGUAAUAUGUGUUAAAACACUUCUAAACUAUAAAACUAAAUAAA